GUGAGAGGGUGGGGAGGGGUAUUCCUCAGAAGGGUGGUGGGAAUGGGUGAUUGGCUGAUAGCUUUUAGCCAUCUCACCCCUUGCUUUUUCCUGUAAGACCAAUUGCAGUCGUUAACAGUCGUGGACAGGUUUAGCACACCUAUCAGCCAAUCACCCAUUCCCACCACCCUUCUGAGUAAUACCCCUCCUCACCCUCUCACU
rnacentral:miRNA from 1 species